AAAUUGAAGAGUUUGAUCAUGGCUCAGAUUGAACGCUGGCGGCAGGCCUAACACAUGCAAGUCGAGCGGUAGCACAGAGAGCUUGCUCUCGGGUGACGAGCGGCGGACGGGUGAGUAAUGUCUGGGAAACUGCCUGAUGGAGGGGGAUAACUACUGGAAACGGUAGCUAAUACCGCAUAAUGUCGCAAGACCAAAGUGGGGGACCUUCGGGCCUCAUGCCAUCAGAUGUGCCCAGAUGGGAUUAGCUAGUAGGUGGGGUAACGGCUCACCUAGGCGACGAUCCCUAGCUGGUCUGAGAGGAUGACCAGCCACACUGGAACUGAGACACGGUCCAGACUCCUACGGGAGGCAGCAGUGGGGAAUAUUGCACAAUGGGCGCAAGCCUGAUGCAGCCAUGCCGCGUGUGUGAAGAAGGCCUUCGGGUUGUAAAGCACUUUCAGCGGGGAGGAAGGCGUUAAGGUUAAUAACCUUGGCGAUUGACGUUACCCGCAGAAGAAGCACCGGCUAACUCCGUGCCAGCAGCCGCGGUAAUACGGAGGGUGCAAGCGUUAAUCGGAAUUACUGGGCGUAAAGCGCACGCAGGCGGUCUGUCAAGUCGGAUGUGAAAUCCCCGGGCUCAACCUGGGAACUGCAUUCGAAACUGGCAGGCUAGAGUCUUGUAGAGGGGGUAGAAUUCCAGGUGUAGCGGUGAAAUGCGUAGAGAUCUGGAGGAAUACCGGUGGCGAAGGCGGCCCCCUGGACAAAGACUGACGCUCAGGUGCGAAAGCGUGGGGAGCAAACAGGAUUAGAUACCCUGGUAGUCCACGCCGUAAACGAUGUCGAUUUGGAGGUUGUGCCCUUGAGGCGUGGCUUCCGGAGCUAACGCGUUAAAUCGACCGCCUGGGGAGUACGGCCGCAAGGUUAAAACUCAAAUGAAUUGACGGGGGCCCGCACAAGCGGUGGAGCAUGUGGUUUAAUUCGAUGCAACGCGAAGAACCUUACCUGGUCUUGACAUCCACAGAACUUAGCAGAGAUGCUUUGGUGCCUUCGGGAACUGUGAGACAGGUGCUGCAUGGCUGUCGUCAGCUCGUGUUGUGAAAUGUUGGGUUAAGUCCCGCAACGAGCGCAACCCUUAUCCUUUGUUGCCAGCGGUCCGGCCGGGAACUCAAAGGAGACUGCCAGUGAUAAACUGGAGGAAGGUGGGGAUGACGUCAAGUCAUCAUGGCCCUUACGACCAGGGCUACACACGUGCUACAAUGGCAUAUACAAAGAGAAGCGACCUCGCGAGAGCAAGCGGACCUCAUAAAGUAUGUCGUAGUCCGGAUUGGAGUCUGCAACUCGACUCCAUGAAGUCGGAAUCGCUAGUAAUCGUAGAUCAGAAUGCUACGGUGAAUACGUUCCCGGGCCUUGUACACACCGCCCGUCACACCAUGGGAGUGGGUUGCAAAAGAAGUAGGUAGCUUAACCUUCGGGAGGGCGCUUACCACUUUGUGAUUCAUGACUGGGGUGAAGUCGUAACAAGGUAACCGUAGGGGAACCUGCGGUUGGAUCACCUCCUUACCUUAAAGAA
rnacentral:rRNA from 1 species